UUAAAAAAUAAAAUUAAAACACAUCUCAGCUUUGGGAGGAAUUAAGAAAAGAUUCCAUUUGGCGACACUAUUAUAUGAAUUCUAAUUGCAUAGGCGGAGUUCUACAUCUCCGGCUACUACUCUUCUCUACUUCUCAUCGCAUCCUCGCCGGCCAUCCAAAGAUCUCCGCCUCACGCCACCUAUCAACUGCCACCAUGGGCUCUCAAUCUCAGCCUCCAUCUCCGCCGUUGGCCGAGAAAGUGAAGCACGAGAUGGAGUUGUUCGGGGACGUUAGAGUUGACAAUUACUACUGGCUUCGCGAUGACUCUCGCAGCGACCCUAAAGUCAUCUCUUAUCUUCAACAAGAGAACGCCUAUACCGAGGCCAUGAUGUCCGGAACCAAAAAAUUUGAAGAUGAAAUUUAUGCUGAGAUUAGAGGUCGAAUCAAAGAGGAUGAUAUGUCUGCUCCUCUUCGGAAAGGACCCUAUUAUUAUUAUUCAAGGACUUUGGAAGGAAAGGAAUAUGUUCAAUAUUGCAGACGUCCCAUUCCUAAUCGUGAUGCUCCAUCUUCUGUUCACGAUACUAUGCCAACUGGGCCUGAUGCUCCGCCCGAGCAUGUAAUCUUGGAUGAGAAUGUUAAGGCUCAAGAACAUGGUUUUUACAGGAUUGGUGCUUUUAAGGUCAGUCCAAAUCAUAAGAUGGUUGCAUACGCUGAAGACACUAAAGGAGAUGAAAUUUAUACUGUCUAUGUGAUUGAUGCAGAGACUCAAGCUCCAAUAGGGAAACCACUAGUAGGUGUAACGUCAAAUCUUGAAUGGGCUGGUAAUGAUGCUUUGGUUUACAUUACAAUGGAUGAGAUCCUUCGGCCAGAUAAGGCAUGGUUACAUAAGUUGGGGGCAGACCAAUCCAAUGACUCGUGCCUUUACCACGAGAAGGAUGACAUGUUUUCCCUUGGUCUUGAAGCCUCUGAGAGUGAGAAAUUUUUGUUUAUUUCAUCUGAAAGCAAAAUUACUAGAUUUGUCUUUUAUCUUGAGGUUUCCAAGCUGGAAGAAGGCCUUAAGGUUUUGACGCCUCGUAUAAUUGGCAUUGAUACCUCUGUUAGUCAUCGUGGAAACCACUUCUUUAUCCAGAGGAGAAGUGAUGAGUUUUUCAAUUCAGAACUACUAGCUUGUCCAGUGGAUAAUACAUCUGCAACAACAGUUCUUAUUCCUCACAGGGCAAGUGUAAAGAUUCAGUAUAUUCAACUUUUUAGUGAUCAUCUUGCUGUCUCUGAGCGUGAAGAAGGUUUGCCCAAAAUUACUGUUUACCGUCUUCCGGAAGUUGAAGAGCCACUCGUAAAUCUUGAAGGGGGUAAAUCAGUUCAAUUUAUUGACCCUGUAUACUCAGUUGAUCUAUCAGUAUCACAGUUUUCCUCCACCAUUUUGCGGUUUUCUUAUAGCUCAUUGCGGAUGCCUAAAUCUGUCUAUGACUAUGACAUGAAUACUGGGGAGUCUGUUUUGAAGAAGAUUGAAACUGUUUUGGGAGGCUUUGAUGCAUCUAAUUAUGUCACCGAAAGGAAAUGGGCUACUGCUUCAGAUGGCACUCAAAUUCCCAUAUCAAUUGUGUACCAAAAGAAUCUUGUCAAGCUUGAUGGAUCUGAUCCAAUGUUGCUUUAUGGAUAUGGUUCAUAUGAGAUAUGUAUAGAUCCUGACUUUAAGGCAUCAAGGCUGUCUUUAUUAGAUCGUGGGUUUAUCUUUGCAAUAGCUCAUAUUCGUGGAGGUGGUGAAAUGGGGAGGCAAUGGUAUGAGAAUGGGAAAUUUUUAAAGAAGAAGAAUACUUUCACAGAUUUUAUCUCUUGUGCCGAGUAUUUAAUUGAACAGAAGUACUGUUCAAAGGAAAAAUUGUGCAUAGAGGGAAGAAGUGCAGGUGGAUUGCUUAUUGGUGCAGUUCUUAACAUGAGGCCUGAUUUGUGGAAGGCUGCUGUCGCUGGAGUGCCUUUUGUAGAUGUCCUGACUACAAUGCUUGACCCUACUAUCCCUCUUACAACUUCAGAGUGGGAGGAAUGGGGUGACCCUCGAAAGGAAGAGUUUUACUUCUAUAUGAAAUCGUAUUCCCCUGUUGAUAAUGUGAAGGCUCAAAAUUAUCCGGAUAUUCUCGUUACAGCUGGCUUACGUGGCAAGUAUAAAGAUCAAUCCGCGUGUUAUGUACUCAGAACCUGCAAAGUUUGUAGCUAAACUAAGGGAUAUGAAAACGGACGAUAACAUGCUGUUGCUCAAGUGUGAACUUGGUGCCGGCCAUUUUUCAAAGUCCGGAAGAUUUGAGAGGCUUCAAGAAGAUGCCAUGACAUAUACUUUUAUGCUGAAAGCUCUGAAUAUGAUUCCCGCCUCUGGGUCCGCGUAAAAUCCGAUAAAAUCAAGAGGUAACGCCAAUUAGAUAAUCUAUAUGCUUUGGCUUGGAAUUUCUGUCAUGGUGGUGGUUGAAGUUUUUGGGGUUUCUACAAUGCAAACUUUGCACAAGUGAUGAUUGCUUUUAGAGUCGAUUUUCACUUGUUUCCUUACAAUCUUAAUUUUCAUUACCCCAUUGUUUUUAGUCAUUGUUGGAGAAAAUGUUGUGCCUUUUGUUGGUAAACAUUACCCAGGCAUUGUCUGAAUCUAAUCAAAUUGAACUCCCAACUUAGCAGAGUA